CCGCCUUCGGAAUUAGAUGGCAUCCGUCCUGCCUGCCCAAUGACCACAAGUUCAACGGCCGCGGUACCCUGACCGUGCAAAGGUAGCGCAAUCACUUGUCUUUUAAAUAAAGACCUGUAUGAAUGGCCAAACGAGGGCUUAACUGUCUCCCCUUUCAAGUCAGUGAAAUUGAUCUGCCCGUGCAGAAGCGGACAUAAUAAUACAAGACGAGAAGACCCUAUGGAGCUUAAGGCAUAAAACUCAACCACGCCAAAAACUCCGCAAAAGUUAACAAGCCCAGUGAUAAAUGAGACCAUGCCUUCGGUUGGGGCGACCAUGGAGGAAAAUAAAGCCUCCAGGAGGAAUGGGGUUAAACCCUUAAACCAAGAGACACAUCUCUAAGCUUCAGAACAUCUGACCAUAAAUGAUCCGGCCAACCAAGACCGAUCAACGAACCAAGUUACCCUAGGGAUAACAGCGCAAUCCUCUCUGAGAGUUCGUAUCGACGAGGGGGUUUACGACCUCGAUGUUGGAUCACGACAUCCUAAUGGUGCAGCAGCUAUAAGGGGUUCGUUUGUUCAACGAUUAAAGUCCUACGUGAUCUGAUUUCAGACCAGGAUUGUUCUCUGUUUAUCAAAACAUAUUACGUGAUCCUGAAGUUACGAACAGGGGGGGGUGUUUACCAGACAGUG
rnacentral:rRNA from 1 species